rnacentral:lncRNA from 1 species
GCAGAUUCUGAGCAUGCGCACAUGUAGGGACGGCAAACGCCACUUCCGGCGAGUUCCUGCUCGGGAUGGUCCACACCGUGGGAGACGCAACUAAGCAGGGUCAAGGAACUAUGAAGUACAACAAAUUUCCCUGACCAAAUUACACUUAUUAGAUCAGAAGAUGACUGUUUUCUCUACAACUCAAAGCUUAUGGAUUGACAUUUAAGAUGUACAGAAAGUAACUGAUAUUCUCAGUUUGGAGUAGGUAUGAGUGAUUUCAUAGAAGAAUUAACAAGGCCCAUGACAGAGGAUGAUGGGGUGGAGAUGUCUGUGCUCUCUGGUACAGGAAUGUAUUUUCCUUGGCUCCAAAAAGAAGUAGAAACUGUGGUGACUGGAGGCAAAAAGGAGAAGGAUUUUGCUUAGACAACAAAUGCUUGUUUAGGAUUCAUCCAAGAAGCUCUGCUGAAACACCAGUGGGAGCACGCUGCAGAAUACAUGCACAGUUAUUUGCAGACCUUGGAAGAUUCAGAUACCAGCAAAAGGCAGGCGGCGCCUGAGGUAAGCGGAGCGUCUGUGCUGGAGGAGACUACAGAUUCCUGGGGUUCUGCCUCUUGAGCUCCACCCAGAGUAGCUGGUUUCUACAGGCUGUCAAGUUGAUUUUUCUAAAAGCUAUUGAAGUAGCUGUGUGUAGGAAAGUUUGUAUCAGGAUUUUUCUUUUGAACACUUCUUUUUACUCAUUACCAUUUAUAAGGAGAUUUAAAAUAGUUUGAACUCUGAAUUCUCCAGCAUUCAUUCAUUGUAGUUCUUCCUGCUUUCCCCCAUGGCAUUAUUUUUCUCUCUGUAGAAUGUUUUUCCUCACCACGUGUUAUUUCUUCUUAAAAUUAUCCUUUCACCCCACUUGUCCUACCAAGUAGGCCACAUUUUUCUGUUCUCCGUUUCAGCAAAGC